CUAAUGGUAACCAUUCGAACCCGAAGUUUUUUUUUUAUUCAACGUAAAUAAUUAUUGGAAUAUACUAUAGGGUUGUCACAAACUAUUUGUAUUUAUGCAAUUUUCUUGUUAUUUUUUUUUUUGAAUUUUCAAUUUUCUUGUUAUUGAUACAUUUUAUGUGCUAAAAUUUAAAAGAGACAAUCUUUAUUAACUUUGUUGAGUUGAUUUAGGGAUAAGCAGUAUAUGUACCUUUUUUGCCA
rnacentral:lncRNA from 1 species